rnacentral:lncRNA from 1 species
UACAAAGGGAUGAUUGAGAGUGCUGUGGGGGGGCGGAUAGUUCUGUCAAGGAGGAACAUGGUUUCUGGCAUCACACGGGGUGGCAGGGACGGAAGAACCCCAUUGGACUUGCCAGGCGUGUAUGAAAUGGAAGGUUAUAAUAAGGACACCAAUCGGGAAGAGGUUUGCAUAGGUUUAGGGGCGAGGUUUAUAGGGAAAAGAUUGCAGGAGCACGGGGCGGAUGGAGAGAGGGAGAAGGGAACUGUUGCCUUGGCGCAGAGGCUUGCGGCAUGUGAUGCGACGCUGAGGUGGUAGGGGGCAGAGGCGGUGAGUGUUAUAAUG